rnacentral:rRNA from 1 species
CGGACGGGUGAGUAACGCGUGGGUAACUGCCUUGUACAGGGGGAUAACAGUUGGAAACGGCUGCUAAUACCGCAUAAGCGCACGGCAUCGCAUGAUGCAGUGUGAAAAACUCCGGUGGUAUAAGAUGGACCCGCGUUGGAUUAGCUGGUUGGUGAGGUAACGGCCCACCAAGGCGACGAUCCAUAGCCGACCUGAGAGGGUGACCGGCCACAUUGGGACUGAGACACGGCCCAA